rnacentral:rRNA from 1 species
UACGUAGGGUCCAAGCGUUGUUCGGAAUUACUGGGCGUAAAGCGCGCGUAGGCGGGUUUGCAAGUCGAUUGUGAAAGCCCUGGGCUCAACCCGGGAUGUGCAGUCGAAACUGUAAAUCUUGAGUGCCUGAGAGGAUGGCGGAAUUCCCGGUGUAGUAGUGAAAUACGUAGAUAUCGGGAAGAACACCUGAGGCGAAGGCGGCUAUCUGGCGGUGCACUGACGCUGAGGCGCGAAAGCGUGGGGAGCAAACAGG